rnacentral:lncRNA from 1 species
GAAACAGGCAAAAUGAGAUGUUUGAUAUUGGGAACGCAGAAUAUGCACUUGGCAUUGGUUUUCAGCACUCUGCUUUGUUUACAUUGAUAAUAUCGGAUUCUUUAAAUUUACGAUAUGAAUAAUAAUGAAAAGAGUUUACAUCAAAAAAGUUCCAUUAGUAGGUAGCUGAAAUAUGGACGAGAAAGGGAUGAAAAGUAGUUUCAGAAAUACCAAGGAUCCAUCCUUUCAUAUUAAAGGAAUUCAUGCAAAAAUAACGCGUCAGAAGCAAACCUUAUUGUCAAUUAGGACAUCGUAAAGUAAAACAGAGUAUAUGAUUUAGACUUACCGUACACUGAAACUUUAACUUAAAUAUCGCUAAUCACUUUUCUUGUUGAAUUUUAAAUGUACAUUUUUGAAGCUAAUAAAUAUCAAACAUCUACUCUUAA